AGUGAACGCUGGCGGUAGACCUAACACAUGCAAGUCGAACGGCAGCACAGUAAGAGCUUGCUCUUACGGGUGGCGAGUGGCGGACGGGUGAGGAAUACAUCGGAAUCUACUUUUUCGUGGGGGAUAACGUAGGGAAACUUACGCUAAUACCGCAUACGACCUACGGGUGAAAGCAGGGGAUCUUCGGACCUUGCGCGAUUGAAUGAGCCGAUGUCGGAUUAGCUAGUUGGCGGGGUAAAGGCCCACCAAGGCGACGAUCCGUAGCUGGUCUGAGAGGAUGAUCAGCAACACUGGAACUGAGACACGGUCCAGACUCCUACGGGAGGCAGCAGUGGGGAAUAUUGGACAAUGGGCGCAAGCCUGAUCCAGCCAUACCGCGUGGGUGAAGAAGGCCUUCGGGUUGUAAAGCCCUUUUGUUGGGAAAGAAAAGCAGCAGGUUAAUACCCCGCUGUUCUGACGGUACCCAAAGAAUAAGCACCGGCUAACUUCGUG
rnacentral:rRNA from 1 species